GACGAACGCUGGCGGCGUGCUUAACACAUGCAAGUCGAGCGGUAAGGCCCUUUCGGGGGUACACGAGCGGCGAACGGGUGAGUAACACGUGGGUGACCUGCCCUUAGCUCUGGGAUAAGCCUGGGAAACUGGGUCUAAUACCGGAUAUGACUCCAUGACGCAUGUUGUGGGGUGGAAAGCCUUGUGCGGCUAGGGAUGGGCCCGCGGCCUAUCAGCCUGUUGGUGGGGUGANGGCCUACCAAGGCGACGACGGGUAGCCGGCCUGAGAGGGCGACCGGCCACACUGGGACUGAGACACGGCCCAGACUCCUACGGGAGGCAGCAGUGGGGAAUCUUGCGCAAUGGGCGAAAGCCUGACGCAGCGACGCCGCGUGGGGAUGACGGCCU
rnacentral:rRNA from 1 species